rnacentral:rRNA from 1 species
UACGUAGGGUGCAAGCGUUGUCCGGAUUUAUUGGGUUUAAAGGGUGCGUAGGCGGGGAAAUAAGUCAGAGGUGAAAGUGGGUAGCUCAACUAUCGAAUUGCCUUUGAUACUGUUUUUCUUGAGUAUAGAAGAGGUAAGCGGAAUGUAUAAUGUAGCGGUGAAAUGCAUAGAUAUUAUACAGAACUCCAAUUGCGAAGGCAGCUUACUGGACUAUAACUGACGCUGAGGCACGAAAGUGUGGGGAUCAAACAGG